GGCGAACGGGUGAGUAAUGCGUGACCAACCUGCCCCAUGCUCCAGAAUAGCUCUUGGAAACGGGUGGUAAUGCUGGAUGCUCCAACUUGACGCAUGUCUUGUUGGGAAAGUGUUUAGUGGCAUGGGAUGGGGUCGCGUCCUAUCAGCUUGUAGGCGGGGUAAUGGCCCACCUAGGCUUCGACGGGUAGCCGGCCUGAGAGGGUGGACGGCCACAAGGGGACUGAGAUACGGCCCUUACUCCUACGGGAGGCAGCAGUU
rnacentral:rRNA from 1 species